UUUCAUCACUCCAGUCCAGCUGGUGGCGGUAAUGCACCUCUAAGCUGGUUUGCAAACUGCUAAUAAACAUGAAGUUUAAGGAGGAAGAAGAAGAAGAUGAUGACGACUCAAGCAGCACUAGCAGCUGAGUUUCAGGUGCUCUGCAGACCAGUCCAGUCCAGCAUGUCGUCUGCGUCUGGCCUUUACAGACUGCGGCUCUGCACUUCACUGUUGCUGCUGGAUACCAGAGUGUAUUUCACUGGUGUGACUCCACCUGAGAAAUCAUCUCAACUACAGAGAGCCUUUAUAACCACGUGGACCUCGGUGGGAGCUUCAGAGAGAAAUCUGUCCAUUCAUGAAAGGCGCUGGGCCAGCCAGACUCAGCCAGACCGGCCCUUCAGGGACACCCGCUGUUUGACUUGGCUCAGCACUGGGCCUGGGUACAGGGCUACAGUUGUCCGUAGCCACAGGCUGCAGAGCUGAAGACGGACCCUUGACCGACAAUGCAAACAGAAGAGGAACAAGAGCACGAACAAGAGAAAAUCAUCUGUUUCUUUGAAUGGAAAACUCCUGGAGCCCAGAUGAAGGUUUUUCCCUUUUUCUCCUUCGCAAUUUUUGUUGGAAGCAUUUGCAUAUUUCAAAAGUCUACCAAAGAAAAUAGCCCAGGGGCAGAAAUGGCCGAUCUGCAUAUUGAAGACUCAACAGAGGGCGAAGAGUGGAAGACAGAGAGGGAGAGAGAGAGAGAAAGUCUCUCUGUAAAUGAUUUGAAGAAGAUCUAAAAUAGACAAUAAUAUAAAUUAGCUGACGGUGUCGUGCGUACUAUGCUGGAUUAAUUGCAGCAGUCGCUACAACUAAAACAGAUUAUUUGCUUAGUUGCGAAGCAGUUUCACGGAGAGAGAGCGAGAGAGCAGAGAGGAAAAAUGUGCAUCAGAAGAAGGCCUCUUCACCCAGCUUCCUUCAUGAAUAACAAAUAGAGGACCCGGUGCUGUGACCAGCCAGCACAACACAUGAAAAACAUUAGUGCAUUCCCUGAGUCGUCUGGUUUUCUCUAUAUUGUGCUGGUAGGCUGGAAAGAUGUGAAACGCUGUGGUGCUUUUGUAUUGCUUCUCUGUUUUCACGGCGUUUUACUGAAUACGGAUCAACAAUUAACAGGUUUUAUAGACUGUGCAAUAAAUAAUGACAUAUAUGUUUACGUUCAUAAGAUGUAAACAGCUUUAUUAUUGAUGAAUAAAUAAUUUACUAAUGCUGUAUAGAUCAUUCAAAAAGCCAUCAGUAACUGUUUUGACACUUGCUUAUAAAUGGUAAUAAGUCAUUAGUAAAGGGUUGUUAAAAUAACCAGUCAGCAGCUGUGAAUGU